rnacentral:tRNA from 1 species
UGGGGUAUAGCUCAGUGGUACAGCGCCUGCCUGGCAAGUGCAAGGUUGUGAGUUCGAUUCUCAAUACAACAA